rnacentral:rRNA from 1 species
UAAAGCUCUCUUCGGAGAGUGCAUAAAGUGGCGCACGGGUGAGUAACACGUAAGUAGUCUACCCUCGGGUGGGGAAUAACUCAGGGAAACUUGAGCUAAUACCGCAUAAUGCAGCGGCACCGCAAGGUGACAGUUGUUAAAGAUUUAUUGCCUGGGGAGGAGCUUGCGGCAGAUUAGCUAGUUGGUAAGGUAAUGGCUUACCAAGGCGACGAUCUGUAGCCGGUCUAAGAGGACGGUCGAUCACACUGACACUGAAUAACGGGUCAGACUCCUACGGGAGGCAGCAGUCGGGAAUUUUGGGCAAUGGGCGAAAGCCUGACCCAGCAACGCCGCGUGAAGGAUGAAGUAUUUCGGUACGUAAACUUCGUAAGAAUAGGAAGAAUUAAUGACGGUACUAUUUGUAAGGUCCGGCUAACUACGUGCCAGCAGCCGCGGUAAUACGUAGGGACCAAGCGUUGUUCGGAUUUACUGGGCGUAAAGGGCGCGUAGGCGGCAUGACAAGUCACUUGUGAAAUCUCCGGGCUUAACUCGGAACGGCCAAGUGAUACUGUCGCGCUAGA